GACAGAGGGUGCAAACGUUGCUCGGAAUCACUGGGCGUAAAGGGCGCGUAGGCGGCCAGCACAAGUCAGUUGUGAAAUCUCCGAGCUUAACUCGGAAAGGUCAACUGAUACUGUGCGGCUAGAGUGCAGAAGGGGCAACUGGAAUUCUUGGUGUAGCGGUGAAAUGCGUAGAUAUCAAGAGGAACACCUGCGGCGAAGGCGGGUUGCUGGGCUGACACUGACGCUGAGGCGCGAAAGCUAGGGGAGCGAACGGG
rnacentral:rRNA from 1 species